AUUUAAACUGCUAUCGACAAACUGCAAACAAUUCUUUUUCACCAAGAAGACGUCAUUUCAAUGUCUUUAAAUGGUAAGUUUUUUAUAUUUCUGUUAUAUCUGACUCAGGUGAAGAAAUGACACAUUCAUUUUAGGUGAUUUUAAAAAUAUUUUUUACAGUUUGAACACAGUUGGACAUAUUUCCGGGUUUCCAUAUCUCUUCUUCUUAAGUUUGCAUUAAUGCUCUAGAUCUGAACAAUGACUGAAAAAAAAAUUCAAUUGAACAUUUAACUGAGUAAUUUUAUUUUCUUCAAGGUAAAAGUAUUUGUAAAACCAAAUUUGAAAGUUA
rnacentral:lncRNA from 1 species